rnacentral:rRNA from 1 species
AACGGAGGGGGCGAGCGUUAUUCAUCGUAAUUGGGCGUAAAGGGUAUGUAGGCUAUUCGUAGCGCUGUAGUGUUAAAGGCCACAUAUCCGUGUGGCAGAAGCUGUAGCGCAGAAUUUGAAAAAUUACGGGGGUUGGCAGAAUUCUAAUGUAGAGGUAAAAAUUCGGAAAUAUUAGUAGGAAUACCAAAGGCGAAAAGCAGCUUUCUUUGUGUUUUUUUGACGCUGAUGUACUAAAAGCAUGGGGGAUCAAAACAGG